rnacentral:rRNA from 1 species
CCAUUAAUUUUUAUGAACCCCUAAUUUAUAAUGAAUGACUCCAUAUUUAUAUGGAAGACACCAUGCUAGGAUUAGUAACAAGAAUUUAUAAUUCUCCAAAAUGCAAAUAUAAACCAACAUGGAUAGACCAUUGGUAGUUACCGAACCUAAAUUUAAUGCAAUAACAUCCACAAGAAAACUCUGCAGCACUCACUCGUUAACCUAACACCAGCGCAUUACAGGAAAGAUUCAAAAAAAGAGAAGGAAUUCGGCAAAUGACGGCCCCGCCUGUUUACCAAAAACAUCGCCUCUUGACUUAUAAUAAGAGGUCUAGCCUGCCCAGUGAAUUUUAAACGGCCGCGGUAUCCUAACCGCGCGAAGGUAGCAUAAUCACUUGUUCUUUAAAUGGGGACUCGUAUCAACGGCAUCACGAGGGUUUUACUGUCUCCUCUUUUUGAUCAGUGAAAUUGAUCUUCCCGUGAAGAAGCGGGAAUAUUUUUAUAAGACGAGAAGACCCCAUGGAGCUUUAAACCAAAUAACAACUUAACCACUUAUCCCAUAAUAAAUUUAACCCCUGUUAUAAGGUUUUUGGUUGGGGUGACCGCGGAGUAAAGCACAUCCUCCACGACGGAAAGAAUAAAAUCUUUAUUUAAGAACCACACUUCUAGAAAUUAGUAUACUAACGUUUACUGACCCGACAAUCGAUCAACGGACCAAGUUACCCUGGGGAUAACAGCGCAAUCUACUUCGAGAGCUCAUAUCGACAAGUAGGCUUACGACCUCGAUGUUGGAUCAGGGUAUCCCGGUGGUGCAGCCGCUACCGAAGGUUCGUUUGUUCAACGAUUAAAACCCUACGUGAUCUG